AACGCGAAGAACCUUACCUGGCCUUGACAUCCUCGGAACCCUGCAGAGAUGCGGGGGUGCCUUCGGGAACCGAGAGACAGGUGCUGCAUGGCUGUCGUCAGCUCGUGUCGUGAGAUGUUGGGUUAAGUCCCGCAACGAGCGCAACCCUUGUCCUUAGUCGCCAGCAUUUGGUUGGGAACUCUAAGGAGACCGCCGGUGACAAACCGGAGGAAGGUGGGGAUGACGUCAAGUCAUCAUGGCCUUUAUGGCCAGGGCUACACACGUGCUACAAUGGUAGAUACAGAGGGAAGCCAACGCGCGAGCGGGAGCCAAUCCCAGAAAAUCUAUCGUAGUCCGGAUCGGAGUCUGCAACUCGACUCCGUGAAGUCGGAAUCGCUAGUAAUCGCAGAUCAGCAUUGCUGCGGUGAAUACGUUCCCGGGUCUUGUACACACGC
rnacentral:rRNA from 1 species